rnacentral:lncRNA from 1 species
CCUCGUCAUGGUGAAGAUGCUUAUUGUUUUAUUUAAGCGUGACGUCACACCGCCAACGCCUGCCGCGAUCGUGCAUAUUGCAUUCCUCUGAAACCCUUGAAUGAUAUAAAUAGUAGGAAAUCGUGACUGACAUCGAAAUACCAGUUUCUGAGGUGGCAAGGAAACCAGCUGAGACAUGAUACCACAUCAGCAAUGCCUUGCAUGUAACACUUUGAAUACCGCGCGAAGAUGUAUUCUCGAUUGGAAAAUAAAAUUAAAGAAUAACGAGGAAAGUGAGGGAAAACGGAAGUAGGAAAAACAGGCCGCCAGAAUCAUUUCAAGAAGGCAAGAACCAAUCAACAGACAAAAACAGCACGAGUACAAGUUUCAAGCCUAUACGACAGCCAAACCACAAAAACAGAAGAAGACGAAGGAGAUUUGCCCCUUUGCAGAAAAACCUGUCUUCCACCUCGACAGUGCAGCAACAAGGCAGCAAAAGCGUUAAAGUUCCAUCUGAACUGUUAUCAAGAUUUCCCAGAGCGCUCCAGGAAAUAAACUGAAGAAUAAUGGGACAGAACUUUAUGUGGUUCUUGUUAUCAUGAUUGGACUAGAGGGAUACUCAAAUGCAAGCGAAUCCUGCAAAAGUCAUAAUUCGUAGCUUGUAAUUAAUCAACGAGGAUCGUCUUGAAAGAUAGUCUGAGGAUUUCUCUGUUCACCCAAAGCCGUCUCUGAGGAGAUGACGAUAGAACGGGCUAACAUUUCGAGGAUAUCCCUCGCUAUUUUGUCAUUGGACAGUAAGAGUUGAAAGCCCAAAAUAGCAUCUGUCUCGAAACAGGAAACUGUAGACUUUUUGUUGAAACUUAACUACAGGAAGCGAGAAACGCAAUGGAACGUUUCUUUGGUAUUAUCAGGCUUGUCAGAUUUACGAAGAGUUAUGACUGAGCAAUAGAAUUGAAUUAAUCAACACUUUUGACUUUGAUAUAAAUGAUAUGCGCUUCCUCUUAAUUUGUUUCGGGCUCAUUUUGCCACAUUUAUUCCCUUUAAAAUUAUUUACUCUCACACUGUAAUUAUAUACGGCCAAUAAUGUCAAUAAUACUAUAUAAAUAUUACAGUUUCAGAAUAUUCAACUUCCUGCAUCCUUUGGAAGACACUCAACUCAGUUGUUUACACAUUUUAAGUCAAAACUGACAUUAUUAUUCAUUCAGCUUUGUUAGAAACUAUAACAAAUGACGCAGAAAGUUGAUUUUUCUAUCUUAGAUGUAGAUCAAUUUUCCUAGUUUUGUUAUCAAUUUGACAAUUAAUCGGCCAAAUUAAGUCAUUUUCCCCGAAAAACCUGAAAACUAAAACUUAGCUCCAUUUCUUGUUCAUGGAAGCCUCUUUCCCCCUUUUCCCCCGUCAUCAUAGCAUGCGUUUCCUGUUUGUAAACUGCCCGACGAGCAUGUUUCGUUUUGCCAUUGUGAUGUUUUCUAAAGCCGAGUUUCAGUCCCCCGAAGUCUAAAAUCUGCAUAAAUUUCAAUGCAUAAUACACGACAAUUUACUUCACCUCCGUGCGGCUUAGACAUCCACACCAAAUGGCAUGCAUGCAAACAAGCACCAAAAUAAAAUGUGCUGAAAUAAAACUUCGCUCAGCGAAAAACUAAUGGAAAUAAAGCUUGUUUUAAAACUGAUCAUGCACCAGAAAUGUGUUUACUGUUCAGUAUAGCGGAAAAACUCAGCCGCUGU